UACAGAGACUGCAAGCGUUAUUCGGAUUCACUGGGCGUAAAGGGUGCGCAGGCGGCCAAGUGUGUGAGGCGUGAAAGCCCGGGGCUUAACCCCGGAAUUGCACCUCAAACUACAUGGCUAGAGCAUUGGAGAGGGUAGCAGAAUUCAUGGUGUAGCAGUGAAAUGCGUAGAUAUCAUGAGGAAUACCAGAGGCGAAGGCGGCUACCUGGACAAUUGCUGACGUUCAGGCACGAAAGCGUGGGGAGCAAACGGG
rnacentral:rRNA from 1 species